AAGAAAUUUAAUAAUUUUGAAAAUGGAUUUUUUUGUUUUGGCAAGAGCAUGAGAGCUUUUACUGGGCAAGAAGACAAGAGAUGGAGAGUCCAGCCGGGCCUGCGCUUAAGUGCGCGGUCUUGCUAGGCUUGUAAGUUUCUUUCUUGCUAUUCCAAACGGUGAGAGAUUUCUGUGCUUUUGUUAUAGGACAAUUAAAACCGUUUCAAUACAACACACUGUGGAGUUUUCAUAUCUUUGCAACUUUUUCUUUGGGCAUUCGAGCAAUCGGGGCCCAGAGGUAACAAACACAAACAAUUUUAUCUAUUCAUUAAAUUUUUGUCAAAAACAAGAAUUUUCGUAACUGGAAAUUUUAAAAUAUUAAAAACUUUCAACAACGGAUCUCUUGGUUCUCGCAUCGAUGAAGAACGCAGCGAAAUGCGAUACGUAAUGUGAAUUGCAGAAUUCCGUGAAUCAUCGAAUCUUUGAACGCACAUUGCGCCCCUUGGUAUUCCAGGGGGCAUGCCUGUUUGAGCGUCAUUUCCUUCUCAAACAUUCUGUUUGGUAGUGAGUGAUACUCUUUGGAGUUAACUUGAAAUUGCUGGCCUUUUCAUUGGAUGUUUUUUUUCCAAAGAGAGGUUUCUCUGCGUGCUUGAGGUAUAAUGCAAGUACGGUCGUUUUAGGUUUUACCAACUGCGGCUAAUCUUUUUUUAUACUGAGCGUAUUGGAACGUUAUCGAUAAGAAGAGAGCGUCUAGGCGAACAAUGUUCUUAAAGUU
rnacentral:misc_RNA from 1 species